AGCGAACGCUGGCGGCAGGCCUAACACAUGCAAGUCGAACGGACCCUUCGGGGUUAGUGGCGGACGGGUGAGUAACACGUGGGAACGUGCCUUUAGGUUCGGAAUAGCUCCUGGAAACGGGUGGUAAUGCCGAAUGUGCCCUUAGGGGGAGAGAUUUAUCGCCUUUAGAGCGGCCCGCGUCUGAUUAGCUAGUUGGUGAGGUAAUGGCUCACCAAGGCUACGAUCAGUAGCUGGUCUGAGAGGAUGACCAGCCACAUUGGGACUGGGACACGGCCCAAACUCCUACGGGAGGCAGCAGUGGGGAAUCUUGCGCAAUGGGCGAAAGCCUGACGCAGCCAUGCCGCGUGAAUGAUGAAGGUCUUAGGAUUGUAAAAUUCUUUCACCGGGGACGGUAAUGACGGUACCCGGAGAAGAAGCCCCGGCUAACUUCGUGCCAGCCGCCGCGGUAAGAC
rnacentral:rRNA from 1 species